GUCCAAGGUGAUUCCUUCUCCCAGGGACCAAGUAAGCCCAUCUCAAGAAUGUAGCAACUCAGAAGAAAGCUUGGCAUGCUUAAAGUCUUUGGGGAGCAAGGUAAGCAUGUUUCCUUUGCCUCACUUUGGCUGCCUACAUGC
ensembl:snoRNA